rnacentral:rRNA from 1 species
CUUUGAGUCACCCCCCCCAUGGCUGUCGUCAAAAAAAAAUUGUGAAAUGUUAAAAUAAAUCCCGCAACGAGCGCAACACUUAACCUUUGUUGCCAGCGGUUCGGCCGGGAACUCAAAGGAGACUGCCAGUGAUAAACUGGAGGAAGGUGGGGAUGACGUCAAGUCAUCAAGGCCCUUACGAGUAGGGCUACACACGUGCUACAAUGGCAUAUACAAAGAGAAGCGACCUCGCGAGAGCACGCGCCCCUCAUAAAGUAUGUCGUAGUCCGGAUCGGAGUCUGCAACUAGACUCCGUGAAGUCGGAAUCGCUAGUAAUCGUGGAUCAGAAUGCCACGGUGAAUACGUUCCCGGGCCUUUAACUCGCCCCCGUCACACCAUGGGAGUGGGUGCCCCCUCCCCUUUUUGCUUAACCUUCCGGAGGGCGCUUACCACUUUGUGAUCAAAACCGGGGUGAAGUUGUAACAACGACCCCCCGGGC